ensembl:lncRNA
UCUUUGUCUACUCAAGCCUGAAGCCACACCACCUGCUGAAGAUGUUUGUCAAAGCGAUCAUUCUGCUCGUGGGCUUGUCGACAGCCUACACACUGAAGUGCUUUAAUUGCAUAGGCAAAGACUGCAACGAGACGCUGGUUUGCCAACCUGUUUUGGGCAUUACACUUGAUCGAUGCGCUAAAGUUGAACAGAACGGACUUGUAAUAAAGAGCUGCAUGAACCAAGACUUAUGUAAGGCCCCCAUAUCCUGCUGUUCUACGGACCUGUGCAACAGCGCUGUCACGACUGGCCCCGCUUUGGCCCUGCUCCUGCUCUCCUCCACCAUUUUUACUCUGUUUCUGUAACAGUUUAACACCUCUUCAUUUCAGACAAUACAUGGAGUUGUAUUUGUAAAUCCUUUUGACUUUUUGUUAUCCAGAUGUUCCAAAGCAGUACAUUAUUUUUGAUAGUACAAUGAGUGAUCAAAUGCAUUCAUGAAUGUAUUGCUUGAGCAGAUAAUUAAAUGGAUUUCUAAAGAUUAUACCACAAUUGAACUGGUUC